AUUUUAUAAUUCCUAUGCAAAAGAGUUCAUUCAUUGCCUAUUUCACAACAAUACAAGGUUCUACAGAGUUCAAUCCCACACCAUGUUAUAGAAAUGCUUCAACUAUCAACCAGGACGGUAAUCGUUAGGGGCUUCAACAACUUCACAGAUACAACAAUUACGAUAAGUCUCAUCUCCGACAUUCAUACAGAAAAUCGAAUAAAAUUCGAAAUCAAGAAUCAAUCCCAAAACUGAAAGUUGAAAAUUUGGAAAAAGAACUUACAUUGGAGAACAGCCCACGAGAAGAGGAUCAUUUCUACCUCUUGGGUCGAGGUCCAAUUCCUGCGAUAUUGGCCGGAAGUUGGCCGGAAAACCCUGGGUCACCGUUUCUUAAAUUAGAAAUUGAGGAAAAUCGCCUACGAAUUUAUAGAAACUAACAGGGAUUGGAUAAAGGACGGCAAGAGCAUUCUGGAUGUGUAGUUUGACAGGCGUUAGUGACCUGUGAACGACGGAGACGUUGUGUCGGCAGUCGUCGGCUCGCUAGGAGAAGAGGGAGAGAGGAUGCAGGAGGGAGGAGAGACAAAAAGAAAAGGAAAAGAAACAAAGAAAUUUAAAAUAGAAAUGAAAAAGAAAGGUAACCGGACUGCAAAGGUAAUCAGCAUACAAAAUUAUCAUACUAUCCUUAAACUUUGUAGCUAUGUGAAAUCUUCAUUUUAAUUCUAAAUUUUCUUAUGCUUGCGCUCACAGGUUCUUAUUAGAGCAGUUCCACCGGAGGUGGAAUAGCCCAGUACCCAGUCAAAAAAUCAGGUUAGCACCCUGUUAAUUCACUCCAGCCCGUGAAAUCGACUAGCACCCAGCCUAAGCCAGUCUACGGGCCGGCCUAAAAUCGACAGACCUUGGGACCGACCUAUCUGACGUCAGCGUGGCGUCGGAGGGCAUAUGACGUCAGAGAAGGAGUUGUUGUGGAGGCUGAGGAGCAGAGCUGGUUGAGGCGGGAGAGGAUGUCGAGAGGGAAGGAACCAUGGAGGGAGAACGACGGAAGGACAAAGCGACAGCGUCGGAGGUGUGGAGAUGCAGGAGGACGAAUCGACGGUGUUGAAGGACAGGAGGUGUGGAGACGCUGUAGAGGAGCUAGUUGUUGAGAUGUGGAGAUGCAGGAGGUGAGGAGAUGCAGGAGAUGUAGGAAGUGCAGGGGUGGAUGGCGUGCAGAAAUGGAAGGGAAAGGAGGUGUGGAAGAUGAGAAAAUAAUAAUAAUUUUUUUUUAUAAAGUUAGAAAUUAAAAAUAAAAAUAUUAUUUUUUAUUAUUUUAUAAUAAAAAAUAAUAAUUUUUUAAUAAAAUUGACUAGGCUAUUUUUUUUAGGGAUAGAGAUGCAUUGGCCUAUUGCUGUUCAUUAUGGUUUAUCACUGUUCACUUGAGUGGAUAAAUGCACUGGAUGCUGGCGUAAAGUCUUUAGGGGUGGACUUGCUCUUAUGCGCACUACGAAAAGAUAUUAUGUGAGUUUUCGUUGAGAAUUUUUUUGAUGGAGGCAUCCAUGAUUUGCAAGGCCCACCAUGGCAAAGCUAGGUAUCGGCCUGACAUGUGAAGACACCAUCGCGGAGAAGAAUCUGGAAAGUUCAAUCCUUGUAUUUUUCUUAUAUAAUGGUGUCGUUUUAGUGAACUGAAUGUUUCGAUUCCAACAUCUAAAAUACUACAAUUGGAAUUUUUACAUACUACAAUUGGAUUGUAUCUUAAAAUUCUGAAGUUUUGGAUUGAAUUACCACUACCAAAAAUGUGAGCAUUGGUCACAAUCAUGCUGCUUUGUGUUGGAUUUCGUUAGAGAUCAUAAUUAAUCAAUCACCCAUAUUGUGUCUCCCUCCAAAAGCUCAAACUGAAACCUAAACUCCCUCGUCGACCAAAAAAAAAAAAACAAUCCUUGAACUCCCUAGCAAAUCAGAGCCCAAUUUGACAACCAAGAUCUUCAUCGUUCGAGCAUCAAUGUUCUCUUAAAUUUGCUGCGAGCAACCUACCAUGAAAUCUCCUUCAUGGACAUCUCAUAAAAUUAGAAUGGUACAAAGAAGAGUAGUGUCACUCCUAAGCUAGGAUUACACGUUUGAAUCGCAAAAUAGUUCCUCCUCCACUCUUUGAUUCUCUCUUUCACCGGCUAACAAUAUUUUACAUUACCAUCUUUUGCUCUAUUUGACUGAAGGACAAAUUUUGAUUGUCUAAAUAUUAUAUUAAACUACAAAUAAUAUUGAUAUUACUUUAGUCUAAAGAAGGCUUUUCAAUUGCAUUGUACCAAUGAAUAGUGUUUUGAACCACAUUUCAGUUUAUUUACAAGACUGCCACUGGGACGCUUUUAGCCAACUUUUGCUUUAUUUACAAAAAUGCCACUCAGGCUUAAGACUCGAUUUUCAGCCGCUGCAUCUCAGGUUUUUACUAGGGGAAAGAGAGGGGAGGGGGACAGAACGAGCAGAGAGAGAGAGCCUGCGGCUUGCAGAAUUACGAUGAUAGAAGAAGAAGCUCAAAAGUUUGAUACGCCAAGUCGAAGGAACCCUAAAAACCAGAGAAGAAGAAGAAGCUCAGAAAUCGGGUGAGGAUGUUGACAAAUCAGCAAGCCCAGUUUUAGGCGACUCUGCAAAACCAACAACCUAACCUCCGACGAACGAUGUUAGAGGGGAUUCGUCAGAUUCGAGUCGAACCGAGGCCGUCGUCGACUAAGAGAACAUUAUCGAUCCCGACUUUUGGAUCGACUCCCUUUACCUGCUCCCUGUCUGUUACUCCUGCUCCGUCUCUCUUCUUGCAAGUUCGCUCGGGUUCUUCUCCCCAGUUAUUUCAAGCACAAAAAAUUCUCCAGUUUCAUUCGUCAGCUCAUACAUACGUAAGCUCUUCGCCUCUUAAUAUUUUGAUUUAGGUUAAUUGUUAAAUUCUUGAAAAAAAUUGAAAGCAUUGUUCAUUUUUGUCCCAAAUUGGUUUGGUUCUGGUUUGGAAACAGAAAUUAAAACAUAUACUCCUUCAUCUACGAUUCACUUAUUCCAUUCCAGAUAUUUCUCCAUUUCUCUCUUAAUUUCUUACUUUUUGAUUCAAGCGUUUAAUUUUUUAUUAAUUAAAUUACAAAUAAGUAUUAUUGACUUUCAUUUGGUACCAAUCAAUCAAGUGAGAGAUGAGUUGUUUGAAUGUUUGAUUUUACUUGAAUCAGAGUCUCCAAGGAGGAGAAAGAGAAGGAUCCGAAUGAUUUAGGGUUUAGGUCUUAGCGUGUGAGCAGGCGUAUUGAUGACUGUAAUCAAGGUAUCACUUAAGCUCUAAUUGUGACUAGUAAAUUUUGAAUGACUGCUGGUUACUGUUAAAACCCCAAAUGUAUGCAAUCCCACGUUCCAAUUUGUUGUGUGAAGAUGCGGACCACAAUUGCUUCCUCUCAGCACAAUUAGUUUCCACGAUUACUCUUAAACCCUAAUUGUCUCUCCUCUAUCUAAAAUCCAUUUUUCGAUUUUUGAAUACGGUAAAUGGAUAUUGUUUCUAUGUGCAGGUGUUACUCGGAGAAGUUUGAAAGGCCCUGGGACAAUGAGGAUUGCAUUUCAGAGUAGCAGAAAUACAAGGCCACCCUCUCUUUGUGUAUCCAAUCUUACCCUUCUCCUAAAUUUUUAUCAAACUAUAGGAUUUAUUUUGCUGAUUUUAUUUUUUGCGAUUUGAGUUUUUAUCUCCUGCUUAUUUUUUAUUUUUUUGCCGAGGUAUUACUUUUCCUUUGACUAGAAAUUUUAGUGUUUUUAAAGUAUAAUGUUAUCAAAUUCUAAUUUUCUAAUUUUCUGAUUUUGGCCUUUUGCAGGGAGUGCUAAGAUACUAAAUUUUUGGGAUUUUUUAUCUUUGCAUGAUUUUUGGUCUUUGAAAUGGGUAUGUGCUGUUUUUAACGUUUUGGUUCUCAAAUGUUUCGUUCUUGAUUUCUGUUUUCUGCCUCCUUCUAGGUUGCUUCGUGAUUUUCAUUUUCCAUUGUUGGCUUAUGGAAUUUAUAAAAAUGGUUGUAGUUUUGUGACCAAAUCCCAAUAAGAGUAUGCCGAAACACAGAUUAGCAUGUAGUGAACAUACGUUGAAUUAGAACAAAAUUUAAUAUAUAAGUGAAGGCAUGUGCAGUGAACAGACAUUGAAUUUAAAAUUGAUAGGGUAGUUAAGCUUCUGCCUUAGUUAUUCUUUGUCACUCACUUUUGGAAUUUAAUUCAUUCAUUUCAAAGUCACUCAUGUACUCUGUCUUACUUUAUUCACUCAUGUUUAGUAUGCACCAUUGAAUUUUUUUGUCAUAUAUUAUUCACUCAUCUACUACACUAAUGUUGAGAUUUGGGUAUCAUUUGUUUUCUCAUAUGUCAUGUUUUUAAGCCAAAUCUAAUAUAUAAAUGGAUCCAAAAACUCCUGAUGUAGCACAUUUAAUUUGUUCAAAUAUUGAUUCUUUUCCCUCUAUUCACUUCAGUUGUCGUGUUCUUCUUCGUUCUUUUUUCAACGGCAAAGCUGGACGAUCCAUGGAGCACAUGUUGUUGAGCCUUUUGCCACUACUGGUCUGGUCCAAUUCGAAGGAGUUGUUGGAGUACAAUCUUUAGGCCCUUUGGAGGAGCUGAAAAACCAGUCUCGACUCUGCUGACCUAGACAUAUUCCGAGAUAUGCUCCAGCUCCAUAACGAAUCGGACAUCAGCCCGGUUCACUACUCUCACUCUUUCCUGCUUUCAUUCUCAAUUUUUUUUUGGAAUUUUGCGCUGAAUUUCAUUUGGGUAAUUUGUGAAGUUUUGUUUUUUUUUCUUCUUUUGUUAGGCAGCUUUUGGUGUGCCUGCGAAUGUUGAUUCGGCGAUGCGUUUACAAUAACGUCAAGAGGGAAAAGAUUCAAAAGAUGUUCCCAGUGUAGCUAUUUUAUAAUUGAUGAGGCUGUUGGUGCUUUUGAUGCGGAAGUUUCAGCGAGAAUGACGGCGAGAUGCACACAAGGAUCAGGUUAGAGAUCUGUGUUGUUUGACAUUUCUGUGUAAACAUUUUUGAGUAUCAAAUAUAUCUCAAAUUUAGGGUGUCGGUUAUGGGCUACUAAAGCGGAAAGUUCUUUUGGCUCAUACAUUAAAGCGGCAUGUGCUUUUGGCUCAUACAUUUAAUUUGUUCAAAUAUUGAUUCUUUUCCCUCUAUUCACUUCAGUUGUCGUGUUCUUCUUCGUUCUUUUUUCAACGGCAAAGCUGGACGAUCCAUGGAGCACAUGUUGUUGAGCCUUUUGCCACUACUGGUCUGGUCCAAUUCGAAGGAGUUGUUGGAGUACAAUCUUUAGGCCCUUUGGAGGAGCUGAAAAACCAGUCUCGACUCUGCUGACCUAGACAUAUUCCGAGAUAUGCUCCAGCUCCAUAACGAAUCGGACAUCAGCCCGGUUCACUACUCUCACUCUUUCCUGCUUUCAUUCUCAAUUUUUUUUUGGAAUUUUGCGCUGAAUUUCAUUUGGGUAAUUUGUGAAGUUUUGUUUUUUUUUUCUUCUUUUGUUAGGCAGCUUUUGGUGUGCCUGCGAAUGUUGAUUCGGCGAUGCGUUUACAAUAACGUCAAGAGGGAAAAGAUUCAAAAGAUGUUCCCAGUGUAGCUAUUUUAUAAUUGAUGAGGCUGUUGGUGCUUUUGAUGCGGAAGUUUCAGCGAGAAUGACGGCGAGAUGCACACAAGGAUCAGGUUAGAGAUCUGUGUUGUUUGACAUUUCUGUGUAAACAUUUUUGAGUAUCAAAUAUAUCUCAAAUUUAGGGUGUCGGUUAUGGGCUACUAAAGCGGAAAGUUCUUUUGGCUCAUACAUUAAAGCGGCAUGUGCUUUUGGCUCAUUUCUUUACAAAAGUUGAAUAUUUGAAUCUGCUUAUUUAUGUUUUGAAAUGAGUGUGUUUGUUAUUCAUGUUUUGGGAAUGUUAAAUCUUUUUAAUUUUUUCGUUCCAGGACGAAAAUAUUUAACGAAAUGAAUUCUGACUAUAAAGUUAAUUGAAGCUCUGAAAAAUUUUGUGGUCGAAAAGGAUGACAGAUUACUAUAGUUUUUUUUCCUUCCUAUCCAAAAACUACCUUUGAUUUUCUUGAUUGUGCGUAUAUUUAAUAUUUGCUAUUAUAAUCGUUCCCAGUAUAAUAGCAGAACCUACUAGACGAGCAGGACCAAGUACCCGACCCUCUACAACAAAAUCAGCCUGCUCAGAAACCCUAGCUUGAAUGCGGUUCCAGAGCUCGACGACUGGGUCUACAAUGGCAACAAAGUCCGAGUCACCGAGCUUCAGCGCAUCAUUCACGACCUCCGAAAGUGGAAACGCUUCUCCCAAGCCCUCCAGGUUUCCAUCUUUCUUUCUUACCUUGCAAUUUGUGUUAUCCCCUGUUUGGUUGCUCAGAAAAUGAAAGAAAAUUGAAAGAAGAAUCAAAGUAAUUAAAUUUUAGUUAAAGAAAGUGAGUGAAUGAGGGAAUUAGGAUUUUUGUUAGUUUAUGUGUUUGUUUGUAUCAUAAGUAAUCGGAAUUUCCUCUGCUUUCAUAAUAAUGUGUUUUAGGUUGCAGAUUUCAGAAUGGAUGAAUCAGAAGGGGAUAUGCAUAUUUUCGCCGGUUGAGCAUGUCGUGCAACUGGAUUUGAUUGGGAAGGUAGAAUUUUGCACGAAUUGCUGUCAAAUAAAGCCAGUUUGAGCCUAUGGGUCGAAUCCUAUUGGACAUUGUUGCAUCAUGGAGCAUGUGAUUGUUGGGAAGUUUAAGCUGGGGAGGAAGAUUGGGAGUGGGUCUUUCAAAGAACUCUAUUUAGGUAUGGUAAUCAGUGCUUGAUAUCCUUUUUUCCUUAGAAAAUUAUUCAUUGUGUUAAUUUAAUGUGUUUUGUAAUGAAAUUGCUCUUCUGGUGUUAGGUGUAAAUGUACAUGGUGGGGAGGAGGUUGCUGUUAAGCUGGUAUGUGAUCGAUCGUCAAAUCUUAUAUUUAGUUCUGAUGUUUGGUUUAUGGCUAAAUGUUUGCAAGCAUUGUAUAGUUUUGUGCCUGAUUGUAAAUGGGCGGCUUCAUUAAUGUACUAGGGUAUGUUGAGUGUGAGCUUCUGGUAAUUCAUUAUGAUUUCAUGUGUGCUUCCAUAUAUAUUGAAAUUGUCCAGUUUGCUCAUGGAUGUUUCUGUAUGAUUUUGCAUGUCUCCCUUGAUAAAAGCUUGAGCAAAAUAUGCUUAUGAAAUCGAUAUGUGGUUUAGCUUUAUAAUUGUGCCUGCAUCUGUACUGCUUAUUUGCUACCCAUCUAAACAUAUAACUUUAUAUGAGAUAGCCCCCCAUUUGAAAAUGAGUGUUUUUAUGCGAUGUUUAUAUUUGUAGGCACUGGAAUUAGUGUCUUUUGUUUUUAUUUUGAUCUCAGUUACUCAAAACUGAAUUUUUUGUUGGUGUGAAUAUAUAUGUCAACAUUUAAUAUCAGCAUUUGGAGUGAAUCAAAUUCAUUUUAAAUUUUCUUAAAUUUAUUGAUUAUCAGAUGACAUAGUUAACAACUUCUGUGAUUUUAAAACACUUGGAGGUGAGAUUUACAUAAUUAAAUAGUCAAUUGAAAAAUUGAAAUGAGAUGUUAGUUUUACCUGACUGAUUUCUUUGUUGGGUUUAUUACUGCUCAAUGUUAAAACCCAAAAAUGGUUUUUUGGGCAAGUGGUGAUUGGCCCGCCUGUGUCAGGAAAGACCACUUACUGCAAUGGCAUGUCUGAGUAUAUCUAGCUCAUCCGAAGGUAAAAAAUUUCACUCUGAAUUCUGGGUUUUCAAGUUUUUCCAUGGCUUCAAUUUUGGUUUUUGAAUACAUCUGAAAUAUUUACAGUGGCAAUUUGUUGUUUUGGUGUGCAGGAAAGUUUUUGUGGUAAAUUUGGAUCAUGCAGCCGAUGCAUUGCCGUAUCCUUUUCGGGGUUUUAUUUUUUUCAUGUUUAUUGUUCGUAAUUUGUAGUGUUGCACUGCAUUCCAAUGUCGAAUAUUGAGGGUAAUAAAGUAGAGCUACUGGUUCAUCUUUCAUUUGAUCUUCUACUAAUUUCGAUUGAAUUCCACAAAUUUUUUUUAUUUGCUUAGUUUAAUUUGUUGUUGUUCAAUUGUUAUGAAGAUCUGUGAAUGUGUAUGAAUUAUUGGUUCUGAUUUUUGUUGAACAAUGUGAAGUUGCUUGGUGUUUUAAGUUCUUGAUCCAAAGAAAGUUGCGUUAUUUCGUAAUGACAUUGCCGUUUGUAGUGGUUGUUUGGAUUACUGUGUCAUUUUAUUUAUGCAACACUUAUAUGAUACCUUUCUUAUUGGCUGUAUGUAAAUCAUCAAUAUCUUAUGGAUUAAUAUGCUUACCAUUUCGUAUACAUAUGUUUUUUAUUCAUGUUAAAACUUUUUGUAUUAUUUUUGUGUUUGUCAUUGGCAGGUGAAUUUGUAAACAUUCAUAGUUAUCCAUAGGACCUUGAGGGAGUAUGCAAUUAGUAUUCAUAUAGAUGGUUAUUUGUGUUAACGAUGAAAGCAUAUGGUUUAGGUUUGUCCUCAAAAUUUAUGCUUAGUUGUAAUAAUGCUUUUGCUUAGUUGUUCAUGUAAAAAUGGAACAAUUUUUUUUUGUACAUAUGUCAUUUUAUAUUCGUUUAAUGUUUGAACUUAUGCUUAUGAACUUGGUUAUUGGUAGGGCUCUUCUAGAGGCAGUGUUGGCGUGUAGAUGAUGUGGAAGUAGGCGAUGAGGAGGAAAUGACAAAGGUGGAGGACCAAAAGGUCUUAUAGAAGAAGAAGAAGCUCAGAAGUCUGAUACACCAAACAACUCCAUCUGAAAGAGGAAGAAUCCAAGGGUAAACCCCUUCAAACUCUUCGAUUAUGGUGUUCUUUAGUCGAUUGCAAGACUAGAACUUGAAAAACUAACACAUGCAUAUAAUUUUUUUAUGAAGGAACUGCAGUCCAGUGGUUGUAUAAAACAAAAGGACAACGCAUGCUCUCUCUCUCAUAGUAGCUCUGUGUUCCUCUCCCCCCAAACCUAAUGGCUUCAUCCCAAUUCGGAGCCUGCUCGAAUCGGGACUUCUUGGAGAUUCGGAUCUCCAGGUGAGAUAAUUUUCCCCAAAUUGUAUUCAAUCUAUGUUGCUUCAUUUCAUUUUCCAUUUUAAUUUGGAAUUGUUGAUAUUUUAGGCGGGUAUUGCAUGUAUAACCACAACAAUUUUUGUGUUGGAUUGGGGUCAAAUUGUCCAGCUUUAUUAGCUAUUUGGUCGCCUUUGUAUUUGUAAUCUGAAUAAUAUGAAUUAGGGUUUUUCUGUUAGUGUCCAAUUGGUCAAGAAAGGAUGCUUCUUUUUUGUUAUCAUGCAUAUUUAAGCUGUAAACAUCUGAAAAACUGCUUAAUUGAAGUGAUAUUUCCAGUUUUUUAGCUCAGUUUCAGGUUUUGACCUUUGAAUUUGUUUACAUGUAUCCCAGCUGAAGCUAUGUACAUCGUAGUUUAAGGGGAUUUUGCUCAAAAUCUGGAGAGCUCUCUCGCUUUGCUCUCUAUGUAAACCCGAGAGAAAUUCCAUGGAAACAUCACGCCUGCAAACGAAGUUGCAGGCCUACACACAAGCAAACUCCAUCUGAAAGCCAAAGAAUCCAAAGGUAAAUCUCUUCAGCUUUCUUAGCUAUUUGGUCCUGUGUAUUUGUAAUCCGAAUAAUAUGAAUUAGGGUUUUUCUGUUAGUGUCCAAUUAGUGAAGAAAUGAUGCUUCUUUUUGUUAUCAUGCAUAUUUAAGCUGUAAACAUCUGAAAAAGCUGCUUAAUUGAAGUGAGAUUUCCAGUUUUUGAGCUCAAUUUCAUUUCUUAUAGACAAUUUUUUUUCAAGAUUUCUGGGUUUCUUUUUGCUGCUUCUUUGUUAAAUUACUCAUCUGGAAGUUAAAUUUUGUUCAAAUACCAAGUAUUGUUCUUCAAUUAAAGAUUUAUGGGUUUUUUUAUUGCUUCUUUUCUGUUAAAUUACUCAUCUAGAAGUUAAUUUUGUUCAAAAACUUACUGUUCUUCAAUUAAUCUUACAAGAAAGCAUAUGAGAAUGUGGCACAUUAGGUGUUCGAUGAAAUGUGUCUGAGAAUCUGUCAGUAUGAUAUAUUAUAAUUCUGAAUCUCCUCUUCAGCUCUGGCCACAGGUGCGCGAAGGCGACAUGAUCCUGGUCGACAGUUCGGAGCUCUGGCGAUUCUGACUAAGAAAGAGGUCAAUAACAACAAGGUAAUGGAAUUCAAUGUUUUGUGUUUGUUAUAGAGGCAUAUUUGCAACAGUAUAUCAGAUAAUAAUUCUAGAUAGUAUGUCCAGAUGGCAUAGAUUGUGUUUCAUGAUGCAUAUGGCUGAAGCGGUUUUGGCUACUUUUUUUAUUGCUCAUUAAAUUUUUUGCUGCCUUUGGCUGGUACAAAUAUAUAUAAGAAGUACUAUCCUUUUAUCAACUUUUACCAAGUCAAAUUUAGGAUCCAUUUGUACUCAUGCGCCAUUGGGGUAAAGUGCAUGUGCUUUUUUUUUCUGUUGUAUAUUUUCAUCUAGGGGAUAACGUUUUGUUGUUUGUUGGAAGGAAUAUUAAAACACAUCCACACCCUAUUUUGUCAUUGUUCUAAAGUAUCUCAUGCUGGUUUUAGAAUUCUCCCGACUUUCUAACUCAAAUAUGUGCCAAGAGAACCCAACUAAAGUGGUUCGCCGCUCCAUGUAUGAAGUAUUAGUGAAUUAUUUGUAAUUUUACAUAACCAAAAGAAAAUUUUUGCGUUGUAUGCAUACAUAUUGAAAUUUAUGUUAUAAAUUUUUUGAAAAGAAACAGAUGUAAAUUAGAAUCAUACUAAUAUAGGUAUGCUGUAUACAUAACUUUGAUAAUACCAUAAGUUCAGAAUUAAUCUUUAGUGUCAUUAAAAAAUUUAUGUAAAUUUAUAUACAUAAAUUUGAUAGCACCAUAAACUUGGGGUAUUGUUAUAUUUAGUACAGGCAAUAUGAUGCCGUUCAGGUGUUUUUAACUAAUAUCUGCAGUUUUUCAAUUCAUCUGGGGUAUUUGUGAUUUGAACGACACUAAAAAAUUUUAUGGGUUAUAGGAACUGCAGGUUAAAAAAAUGGGUCAAAUUCAGAGCUGCAUUCGUCUUCCCUCAAAAUAAGAAGAAAAUGCUUCCUCAACUACAUAUUUUGCAACCUCAGGUAUAUUUGUGUUCUAAAGGCUUUUACUUCCUCCGGUUUCUUCAGAGCUAUUAUUUUACCCAUAUAUGAUUUGUAAAGUGGAAGAUUGGAUUUCAUAUGUCUGAGUAUUUAGGGUUUUGCACAAUGCAAACUUGAGCUUUUGAUCCAAAUGGCUAGAACAGUGUACUCGACCAAUUUCAUAUCCUCUUGGGCUAAUGAGAGUAUAUUACUUGCCACUGGGGAAUUCACUUCAUAUAAGCCAUAGAGAGAGAGAGAGAGAGAGAGAGUCACAUUUUUGUUUUUUUUUUUUUGGAUUUGGUAACUGAAAUUUUAUAUGUGUGAACUACAUGUUUCUUCUGUUUCUUAAGGAAACAGAAAUUUUUUGGAAACCAUCUCUUUCUAAUCAAAGACAUUGUGCAAUGUGUUUAUAUGCCAACUCACUUGAAUGUAUAUAAAAGCAAAACAGCUUCACUUAUUGACCUCAAUUCACUCAUGUAUCCCUCUGUUUGUUCACGAUUGUGUUGAAUUUAUUCAAUUUAAAUAUAUUUUAUUCAUUUGAUUAUACCUGAAACAACAGGUUCCCGCAACAACGUGCGGGCAUAUUUUCUCGUUAUAUAUAUUACAAUGUGACUGGAAUUGUAGUACCCAACAUUUUGUUGUCCAUGAAGUGGCCAACUCGCCCUCUCUGAUAUUCUUUAGUCCGGUCCAUUUUGAGUUUAACCAAACUCAUUCUUUUAUAAGCAAUGUAUUGUGGGCAUCGUUGGAGCACGAGACAUUAUUUUAUAAUUCCUCUUUGGUUGAGCUAUUAAUGUCAUUGUUUAACAAUUUAGUGAUAUUUAUCUUUACUUGUAGAUGAGAGGUUUCAGGUUCGAAUCUCGGGAGUGAUGAUUUGUUGUAAAUAUACCAUAAAAGAAGAAGAAAAAAAAAAGCAAAUCAUCAUUUACCACAGUAGUAGAAAGGUGUUGAGCCCUUGUAUAUGAUGGCGUGAGUUUGAACGUAGUUGGUAACUAAUCUAACAUGUAAUCUAACAAAAUUUAUCAUUUGAUAAAAAAAAAUAUAAUACAAAAACACGAAAAUGCCCUUAAAGUCCAAAGUGCCCCCCUCUGCCCUGCCGCUUCCUGCAAGUUCUUUCCUCGCCCCUAUUUCCCUCACUUUCUCCCUAUCAGACGUUCGAAGACUCAAAACUGUUUUUAACUCUCUCCCUCUCUCUCACUCUCUCCUUCUCACUCUUAAAUGUCGCCCUUUCUCACUCAUACGCACGCUCAAUGAUCUCUGAAGCACCAAUUGCUCUUCGCUUUGGCUCUCUGCAUCUCACCAGAGGUAAAAUGCCCCAAAUUUAUUUAUUUAUUUUUUUACUUUUUCCUCUAAAUUUAAUUCAAUGAAUUUUUUGUGUACCCUUGCAGUAAUACAGGAAGAUUUUUGUAGUAUUUCUACUUGCUGGAUGAUACUGAAAUAAUUAUUGGGAGUUUGAAGAAUUUCUGGUUUGUAUGAUAUAUUUGCUAAAAGACCCAAAAUUUUGAAGCAGAGCGGCGGUAUUUGAUAAGAAAAUCAUCUGAUGAGUCAAUGGAGUCGUCAUCGCCUCCAAAGGAGAACGAAAAAAGCUCGAAACAAGCUUGCGUAGAAAUCAACUUGGAAGAUCUUGCUGUUGAUCCCGGGCUGCGCACUCGAAUUUGGGAUUAGCAUCCCAGUUCAAGUUCGAGAGUAAGUUCGAAGAGCAUAUAUACAAAAGGGUCCUUUUCAGAGUCGAGACCAUGACUUCCCCAGCAAGAAUACUAGUGAGGGACCGAGAAAGUUUAUAUCUGCUUGGUUUAUGAUUUUCCGACUUGGUUGGUAUUGUCUAUGUUGUUAUCUGUUUAAGCUAAAUACAGGAGAGCAAGCCGGCGGUGAUUGCUUGGUUAGUAAAGGGUUUUCGAAUUGGAAGAAGGAAAGGUUGCAGGGUCAUGUUGGAGGACGGAAUAGCGGCCUCAACCAAGCUUGGAGAACCUGUGAUGCUUUAUUAAAGCAACACCAAGCAUGAAUAUGAAGGUUCAAACAACGAAGGAGUUUUUCUUGGACUCUGGAACUUCCACUGUGGUCGUCAUGAGGAGUUAAAAGUUAUCACAUUGAGAAAUUCUCCCUUAAGUCUGAAGUUGACUUCACCUGAUACUCAGAAGGACAUCAUAACUACUUUUUCAGUGAAAUUAUCAAUGCAAUCGUUAAAGAUAUUGGUAGUUCGUACUUUUCCAUUCUUAUCGAUGAGCUUCAUGACAUGUCUUCAAUGAAGCAAUUGGCUAUUGUAAUACGUUUUGUGGAUAAAGGUCAACUGAUCGAGCCUUUUUUUUAUGUGUUGUACAAGCCACUGAUAAUACUGCUGACUCACUUAAGGUGGCUAUUGAUGAUUUCUUUUCUACCCAUGGAUUAAGCAUGUCAAAGCUAGGGGCAAGGUUAUGGUGGGACUAGUAAUAUGAUUGGUGAGUUGAAUAGUAUUAAGACACUUAUAAUGAAGGAGAAUGAGUGCAUUUUACGUUCGUUACUUUGCUCACGGCAGCGAGAGACACGAAAUGCCCACGCCCUCACGAAAGUACUGUCGGCGUUCUCCAACAAGGACGUAGUCGUCUUGCUUGAGGACGAGCGAGUGCUCCAGAUAACUGUUCGCCAUCCGAACCACCCACAAGAAAGGCUGCUUGCUGUUGGCCAGACCCCAUGCCAUUGCAGCUAGUUUUUUACUGUCCAUGAAUGCUGUGCUUCCUAGGCUUACAUAGAUGACAGAGUUGUGUGCUUGUUUAACGAGCCAUGACGUACAACUCUGGUCCUCUUUCAACAAGCUUGUAGACGGGGAUGGAACAGUUUUGUGCAGAGGACCGGUAGGAAAUAACGGAAUUUGGUACUCUUUUUGAAGCCGUGCCAGCGAUGAUUGUUCAAGGCCGUCCCGGUGUUCCAAAUGACGGCUGAAGAUGACCUUUGAAUCGUGUGCUUUCACUAGUAGUUGCAGUAAGCCGUCCAAAACUCUGCCAUCUUAAUGGUUGGAGUCCUGGUGCCAGUUCCAGCAUUAUAGAAUCUGUACACAGAAUGGUCAAGCAUCAGAGAUCUUAAGGUUAGUGCAGACAGUUGCAAAAGUUAUAAAAAUCAUAGAGUCAUCGAGUCUUUUUCCCUUAAAAAGGUUAAAAUCAAUCAAUUAAUUGAUCAAUUUGAUGCAUUUACAUCUCAUAGUUAUUGUGUCAAGACGGAAUUCGAAAAAUUUGAGAUGUCUGAUUGUUACCUUGAAUUGAAAAGUAACCAUCUUAUAGGAAUUACUUGGUAAGUCAUCGUGUUUGCUGCACUGCUAGUAGUCAAUAUAAUGCUAGGCAACCCUAGAUGAUUAGCCACCUCUACUGUACUCAUCAUAGAUGAUGCAUGAAAUCUUGGAGUGGGGACUUGCAGUUAGACAUUAAAGCCUAAUAUUGCAGCAAUAAAAUUGUGGGACGAGAUAUUUUUCUCUCAUAAGCCAUCGGAUAUCUCUAAGAAAUCGAAAUCAGGGUAGUUCGAAGGAAAGUUGAAGUUGGUGUGAGGGACUGUGAUGUAGAAGCCCUCGGAGUGAAAGAUAGCGCCCAGUUGAAGUAUUGGAGUUAUGUUCCCUUGGAAUGGGCAUGGAGCCAGCACUAAUCUGUGGCUUGUACGUUGUGUUUCCAUUGCCCUUAAGAUUUGUGUAGCUAAAAGGAGUACUUCACAUGGUGGACAUUAUGAAGGCUUAUGAUAUUCUGGAUUGGGAAUUUCUUUUAGACACUCUUUCAGAUUUCCAACUUCUAUGAUUAAUUGAAUUUGUUGUUGUGUGAAUAGUACUAAGUUUUUAGUUUCAGUUAACGGCAAGCUAGCGAGUUUUUUCUCCUAGUAAAAGGGGGCAAAGGCAAGGGGACGCUCUAGUUGCUACAACAUCCUAGUUUGCAAAUCGUUUGAAACAGAAAUCAAAACCGUUUGAAACCAAAUUGAACCGCAAUCAAAUGGUUUGGUUUUAUCUUGAUUGGUUUAAGCUUCAAAUUCACACCGAACCGAACUGGCAAAAAAUUCAGUUUCACUUUAAAACCGCACAGAACCAAACCGUGUCCAUCCCUGGUCUGCAUUGGAGGAAAACUGGGGAAAACCUCCCGGUAACCUCAACUCUGAUGGAGAAAAUGUAUUGGAGAUUGAAGAUUGUGAAUUUUUGUUUUUGUUGUUCUCCAUAAGAUUUCCAUUCAAAAUUUCUAUACGAUUUUUUGCCUUCUCUUGUAAUUUCACUAUGAUUACAUACCAUAAUUGAAUAGUACAAAUUAGUCCCGCCUGUUGCCUUGUGGGCUUCAAGUCCUUGGUGACCCUCCGACAGCCAAGGAAACGACAACCCACUUCUGAGAUCGGAAGCUAGCGUAUGGAGACGGCGUGUCGGAGAUUGUCUUGACGGUGGAUUCGAGCUGUGGCAUCUGAAUCUUCUUGAAACCGGUACCUGGCUGACUUGCAGAGCCACCAUCGCAAAGAAGAAGAAUCCGAAAAGCCCAAACCUUAUCUUUUUCUCCUAUAACGAUGUCGUUUUAGUGAAUUGCUUUUACGUUCUCAAACGUCCAUGUCAAAAUUCAAUUAAACCCAACAAUAUUCAUCACAAUUUACAUCAUUUCAUGGUAGAAACGUUGCAAUUAAAAUUGUGCAUAUUAUUGUAUAAAAAUAUCUCGAAAAAAAUUUAUUCUUUUGUUUUUGGUCAAAGAACUAAUUUCAUUAAAGAUAAAACAAAUUAAAGUAUCGUUUGCUAAAAACACACUAAAGUAAAAGUGCAGUCUUUUACAAAAGUAAAGUAAGGAAACAAGCCCCAAAAGUAAGGUAAAAUUUAUUCAUUUUGAUGUCGUUUAGUCAUGCAAAUUAAAUGAAUAUUUUUAAAAUAGUGGUGUUAUCAACACUUUUUUUUUUAGAAAAAUUAAUGAAAAAUGUUUGAAAACUUGAGUUUUUACGAAAAUGACAAAAUAAAGGGUAAAGUAAAUAGUACCAGAAUUGACUUUUUAGUGUAAAAAUAUAAUUUUUCGUUAAAGUGAAUAGUAUCAUGAGUUUUUGUUAAAGUUUUUUUUUUUUUACUUUAACACAUCUUUACUAAUUUCUAUCCUUUAAAAUAAUGUUUUUUUUUUGGGGGAAAACUUAAAAUAGUGUUUUUUAGCCAAAUUAGAACUGCAUAAGUAAACCUAAUACAUCAAAUUAACAAUGCAAUUGCUAUAACUUUACUUUUUGCAUAUCUCAAAACAUUCAACGCACACAUUAAAAUCCCACGUGACUCACUCAUAAGGCGAGGUUGAGAAGACUCGCUAGACACGUAGCUUGCCACUUCAAGAGUAAUUGCAAUGUUUGAGUCCCACUAAAAUAAAAUAAACAAUAAAACUCGAAAUUAAAAUUAAAUUUCUCCCUAUUCCAACCUUCUCUCUCCGAUAAAAUGCAAAUGCCUUUAACUUAUCAUUCUAAUUGCACAAUGUAAAAGAUAAUAUCGAAUGUAAAGAUUUACAUUUUUUUACAGUGCGAUAUUAUACACUAGUUUAAUUAUAUAGAGCAUCCAAUUCGACAUUACAUGUGAUAUUAAGUCUGAUUCUACAGAAGAAAAAUCUCACAGCGGGACAAAUUUUUAAAAGCCACAGAUACUUUAAAUAAACAAUGAAGUCUUUAUGUAUUGUGUGAUGUAUUAGUGGUGGUUUUUAUCAUUCAAGCAAUAAUGAUCCACUAGCCUCCAUGCGCGCUCAUGCACGUGCAUAAAGUAUCACGGUAUGCUAUAUGAGAUUUACACGUUUUAAAUGUAUUUAUAUGCGUAAAUUGAUAAAAAGAAAGUCAAAUAUUUGAGAUAAAUGAAUAAUUUUAAAUCAUGCUAGAAGAAACCCCUCAUAAACCAAUUAAAGCUGAAUCUACAUAAUAUUUAAUAAAUAACUUAUUGAAUCACAUUAUUGCUAGCUCAUUGUGAGGCUAAGCACACCCUCUCCCUUUCAUUUAGAUAAUCUUGUUUGUUUAAAAAAAUCAUUUUACAACUAAUUUGAUCACAUUAUUAUUCACGUGUGAAAGACUUUUUUUAUAACUGGCAUUACACGCCUCUUUAGAUGUUUUGAACGUGUUUAAAAAUAUAGAAAAGAAUAUUGAAUGAACAACUGAUUGAAUCACAUUAUUGCUAGCCUAUUGUGAGGUACUUAUUAAAAAAAACAGUACAAAAAAUUAAUUAUUAAAAAAACACUACUAAAAUGAUGAAAAUACCAUGCCACAUUUGAUGUCUUAUUUUGGGUUGCUUUUGAAGUUUUUUGUUUGAGGGGCAUUUUUGUCCAAUUAUUUUUUGUUGAAGCUUGUGACACCAAAAAAACAGUAUUCACUUUAUUGUUGGCUUUUUAUGUAGAUACUUUUAAGUUUUAUACGUAGUAUACUCACGUGAGCUGGUUAGAUUAGUCAUAAAUGGGUGAUUAGCCACUAACAGAUUUGGACCUACGUCGUCAUGCAAUGCUUAACACCUUUCUACCAUUAUGAGAAAGUGGCUAAUCACACCGAUGAGUCAUUAGCCACCGACGGGUUCAGACUCACGACGUCAUGUAAGAGCUUAAUACCUUUUUGUUAUUAUGGUAAAGGACCACUACCACGCGAGCUGGUUGGAUAUAUACAGAAGGGUCCUUUCAGCCUUGAGACCAUGAAUUUCCCCAUUAGGCUUGGCGCCAGACAAAGGAAAAAUGGAAAGUAAAGAAGAGAGAAAAAUAAGAAAAGGAAAAGAAGGUGAUGGUGGAAUUGCCGGACAAAGAAAAAAUGGAAAGUAAAGAAGAGAGAAUAAAAAAGAAAAGGAAAAGAAGGUGAUGGUGGAAUUGCAGAAAGAAAUAAAGGAAAAGGAAAGAGGGAGUCCAUGUGAAGAAAAGGCAGAAGAAGAAAGAAAACAAAGAGAAAAAAAAAAAGAUGAAUGAGGAUCAUAGCCGUUAUUAGGAUUCUGGAAAUCCUUCAAUCACAUCUAUUCAAUUUAUAUUGUAUGGUCAGAACUUAUUGUAAAUUUUUUAUUUAAAAUUAAUAUAAAUAAUGUCUGACAAAAGCUAAUUGCAUAAUGUAUGAUAAACAAAUGUGAUUAGAGAAUUUAUAGAAUCCUUACAAAUAUGAUCCGACGGGGACCUCCUCUAAAAAAAGAUGGUGAAAGUUGAGACAGGAAAGAAAAAGAAAGAGGUAAAAGAAAGGGAAAAAAACAAUGGUGGUGUCUGGCAUGCAAAUACAGAAGUAGAAAAGUGAUGAGAUUGUGUAGAAAAAGUGGAAGAAAGAAAAAAAAAAGGAGUGGAAUGAAAGUGGGGAGUGUGGCUCUUUACCACAAUGAUGAAAAAGUUAUGCGUCUUUGUAUUUCUACGUGAAUUCAAAUCUAGUUGGCUCCUCCAAGGUUGUGUGUCCUUGCAUUUCGGCGUGAGUUUGAAACAUCAACCAAAUUAUGAAAUGAAUGAAAACAAGUAUGUAUUCCAUUAGAACCAACCUCUGGGUGAUCUUCCUUGUCAAAAUUCCAACACGCCAUUAACAGUCAUUAACUUAGUCAGCAUAUGUAAUGAAGAGCUGAAAAAGUGGUUGGGAUUCUUUACUAAAUCAGGUUUUUGUGACAAACAUAAGAUUGAAGUUCCUAACAUGAAUGACAUGUUUCAAACUGUAGGGAUAAAAUAACUUCGGCGGGGACAUAUAUGCAUCAUUAUCAUGUUGAGAUGUUUUGUAAUGUUAUUGAUAUGCAACUCCAAGAGCUAAAUAUUCAUUUCACUGAGACGAAUAUUGAGUUGCUUUUUUGUGCGACAUGUAUGAAUCCAAGCUAUAUUUAUUCUCUACUUUUGACAAACAAAAGUUGAUUCGUGGCUUGCUCAGUAUACUUGAAUGACUUUUCGGCACUUGACUUGAUGAUACUGUUUUUUUUUUAAGGGACUUUUUGGCACUUGAUGAUACUUGAAAAUCAGCUUAAGAUGCACAUUAUGGACAUGAGCUCUAACAUUGAGUUUUCAGGAUUGAAUGGGAUUGCGGAUCUUGCACAAAAAAUGGUUGAGACAAAAUAAGAAACUGUUUACCCAUUAGUUUACUUGUUGUUGACAUUGUCACUCAUGUUACCAGUUGCAUCUCUCAGUGUAGAGGGCGUUUUGUGCUAUGAGGAUUGUAAACAAUUGGUUACUCAAUCAAAUGGAAGAUCAAAGGACAUAUGAUUGUUGGAUUGCCUAUAUUGAGAAAGACAUUCUCGAAGGUAUCAAACAUGAUGUAACUAAGCAACGAUUUCAUAAUAUAAAAACUCGUCCAUGGCAAAUAUCAUUGUAACUAAUGGAUAUUAUCAAUCAAUGCUGAUUUGUUGUCCUAGAAUGGGCUUCAGUUUUAUUUUUCCUUAUAUAGUUAAAAUAUUGUUAGUAUAGAUAUGUGUCUUUGCAGGUUCGAGGAUGACCCCUUUAAUUUUAACAGGUUCGAGGAUGAUCGCUUGCUCAAGAAACAAUGACUGCAGAACAUUGGAGUUACAGGUGAGUGUUGAGAAGUAAUGUACUUGAAUGGAUGACCAUAGGCUGCAUUUUGCAGUUAGUAUUUGGCAUGAUAUGUCGUUUUGUAUCGGAAAAUUAUAGAGCUAUACAGUUGAACUGAAUUUCAAUUGAAUUUGUGCGUUUUACGUUGAUUAGUUUGCUCACGAUCUUCAUUCAACACUUGUAGAGAUGGCAAAGGAUCAUUCUGAAAUCUUUUGUCUCUUUAUUUCAGUUGCUAAUUUGGCAAAAUGAUGCACCAAGCCAAGGUUUGAACGAACUGAAUCCUUUGGUUAUCUAAUUUAUAUGCUGAAAUGAUGUACCAAACCAAACUGUAUAUUCUAAUUGGUGAGGUAACAUAAUAUGUCCUCCUUGUCAAUGAUAGCAUUCAACAUUCAAAUUCUCUAACAAGUUUGUGACAACCCAUUCUGACUUUAUCAAAUUUUAAUUUCGAAAGGUGAGAAUUGACUAAAAUGCCCCUGUUGGGUUCAGCUUAUACACGGACUUUUGAGCCAGUGCUUAAUUUGUCUCAUUUCUUAGUAUAUCGGGAUAGUAAUCGACGUUAUAAAUGCAUGAGUGCAAACUAGAUCCAAAUUGGAUUUGUAACAAAGAAACUACACUCGUUUAAUAAACGGGUAAAUAUGUACACAAAAUUGUAUGAAAUUCAUAUUUCUAGGUAAUCAAAACCUAAUAAUUUCACAAACCAAGUUUGGAAUAAAAAAAAAAAUUCUAAGGAAAAGAGAUUAAAAAUGGAAACUUUGAAUAUUAUUAAAAAAAAUGACAACUAACGAAAAGUUCAAAAAAAAUUCUCACUUAAUGAAAAACUCUUUUUAAAGGUAUAGUGAAUAGUGUCAAUUAAAUGUAAAAAUGUAAUUUUUCGUAAAAAAUAAACAGUACCUGAGUGUUUUGUUAAAACUCCCUUAAAAAAAACCCAACAAUUUUGUUCAAGAAAAAUAGAAAGAUAGGAAAAAAUCUUUACCUUCCAGAACAUUGAAGUGUGUUUGGAUCAAAUGAGAGAAUCAAAUUGUUAAAUUCAAAUAUCUAAGCGGAUCUGUGUGAAUUUUGUAAGUUAUUUACAAGUUGAGGUCGGUGCCGUUUCUUAUUGUUGGCGAAGUGAAUUUUGUAAGGGGAGGAGUCGCAGAAGGUGGGAUAGAGACGACGGAGGGGGACCUGGGUUCUCUGUGGAGGGAGGUAUGGAGCCGUUGCUGAUCUCGGUCUUCUUGGAUUCGGGUUCGUUGGGGAGUUUGGGUGUGGUGGGUGGGUGAAAAUGGAGGGUUUGAUUUCUGUGAAGACGUUGGUUCUGGAUGUGGUGGGUGGGUGAAAAUGGCGGUUUGGGGAGUUUGGGAGUGGGUUGUCGGGAGGAGAAGUGGGUGUGGGAUAUAGUUGGCCGGAGAAGAUAGAGGCGACAAGGUGGGUACUUUGAAGAAGAUGGAGGUGGGUGGGACGCGGAGGAGAGAAGAGGGGGAGAUCGAACUCUUCUUAUCGGAGGAAGACGAUUGGGCCCAGAUUUCUAAAUUUUUUAUUAUUUUUAUUAUUAUUCUAAUUUUUUUAAAUAUCCAUGUGGACAUAUUGACUCGUAGCCUUAUGUCAUUGUUCAUGCAGGUGUCAUGUCAUAAAUUAACGGUUAAUUUAACAGUAAUCCUAACGGAUAUAUGAAAAUAUUCUACAAUUAUGACUUCAUGUAUCACUUUGGGAUAAAAAAAAUUUGAUGUACUAAAUGUUGAAAACUAAGAAACGUAAAUUGAGAUUAACCCUUAAAUUAAUGUAAAAUAUCGUUUUAUGAGUGAGUCACGAGAGCAAAUCCCUCGUGAGAAUGUGUGCGUUGAAUGUAUUGAGAUAUGCAAAAAGUAAAAUUAUAGCAGUUGCAUUGUUAAUUUGAUGCAUUGAGUUUACUUAUGCAGUUUUAGUUUGGCUAAAAAAUAUUAUUUUGAAGGAUAAAAAUUAGCAAAAAUGUGUUAAAAGUAAAUAAAAAAAAUUGUUGAUAUCACCACUAUUUUAAAAUCAUUCAUUCAAUUUGCAUGACUAAACGAUCUCAAAAUAAAUAAAUUUUACUUUACUUAGACUUGUUUCCUUACUUUACUUUUGGAAAAGACCGCACUUUCACUUUAGUGUGCUUUUGGCAAACGAUACUUUAACGUGUUUUGUCUUUAAUGAGACUAGUUGUUUGAUCGAAAACAAAAGAAUAAAUUUUAGAGAUAUUUUUACACAAUAAUAAAAAAAAUGCGCAACUCUAAUUGCGAUGCUUCUACCGUGAAAUGAAGUUGUAAUGCCGUGUGAGAGUGAGGAUGGCUCGAGCCAUGUAUUGUCAUUUGAAAAUUUGGAGUUCGUAAGCAAUGCAUCUAUUACUUUUUCACUUUAUCUGUGACAUCCCACAUCGCUUAAAUAUAUAUUUUCAUCUCUACCUAGUACGAGGCAUUUUGGGAACUCACUCGGAAUCCGAAGUUAAGCGAGUAGCACACGAGAGCAUUCCCAUGAUGGGUGACCCAUUGGGAAGUUGCUCGUGAGGUCCCAAAAACAAAACCGUGAGGGAAUGGUAAGCCCAAAGCGGACAAUAUCGUGCUACGGUGGUGGAGCGGGGCCAGGAAGUGAUCCGUCCCGAGCCGGAAUGUGACAAAUGGUAUCAGAGCCAAUCCCUACCCAGAAGUGUGCCGACGAGGACGUCGGGCCCCUAAGGGGGUGGAUUGUGACAUCCCAUCGCUCAGGAGAGUGAUCCUUAAAUGUAUAUUCUCAUACCUAAUAGCAUGAGGCAUUUUGGAAGCUUACUGGUUUUAGGUUCUAUCGGAACUUCGAAGUUAAGCGAGUAGCGCGCGAGAGCAAUCACAUGAUGGGUGACCCACUGAGAAAUUGCUCGUGAGUUUCCAAAAACAAAACCGUGAGGGAAUGGUAAGCCCAAAAUUGACAAUAUCGUGCUACGAUGGUAGAGCGGACUUGAGAAGUGAUUCACCCUGGACCGGGAUGUGACAUUAUCUAUUUCUUAUUAAAGAGAAUACAAAAUGACAAAACUGAUCUUGUUGGGUUUAAUGAAAUUUUACAUAGAAGUUUGAGCCAGUACUUAAUUCGUCUCAUUUUUUUAUUGUAUUUAGAUAUUAUUUGUCAUUGUAUGAACGCAUAAACACAAACUAGAUCCAAAUCAAACUUGUAACGAUUUAAAGUAUUGGCUUUUAAAAAUUUGUCCCGUAGUGAGAUUUUUCUUCCGUUAGAUCAGGCUUUUGCUUUACGGAAAGUCACCCCACCUAUCAAUUGCACUAUGCUUUUUCUCUCUUUCUCUCAGUGUUCUCCUCCCACUCUGUAACAUCUCUCUCACUCACUCAACCCUCUCUUUCUCCCUCUCAAACUCUCCCGUCCUCUCUUCUCUCUGUAACGCAGCGAAAGUCACCAAACCUCGACGAAUCAACGCUCAAACCACCACCACGUCCACCCUCUUGACCUCGCGAGCUCGAACCCGAACUCCGUUUCGUAGGAAACAGAGCCUAGAGGCUCUAGCUCGAAGCUCCGACGAGAAAGAAACUUCCCGACGAAGUUCCCGACACUUUUCCGACCACUCCAUACCGUUUUCGAAGAGUUGGAAGCCACCACACAACUCCCUAACAUCCAUGGGUCAAGUUUGAGGUAAUCCCCAACUCAAAAACCCACGGUUUCGAAGCUUUGGGUUUUUGGGCGAGACUUUCAGGCCAAUUUCAGUACAUUUACGUCUGCUUUUUGGAGUUCCAAGAGGUAUAAACUUGUUCCUUGUGCUUCAUUUCCAUAUAAAGAACGUAAAAAAUGGUUGAGAAAUGAGCAAGUUAUGGCCCUUUGAAAUUGUCCACAGUUUCCGUCGAUUUCAGGGACCUUCCGGCCUGUUUCUGGCUAAAUGACGGCGAGUUAGCCGUUGCUAUGGGUACCAAUCUGUUCGUCUCAUUCCGAGGCAUCAUUUCCAUUCUGAAUCACUCAAUUUGGUUGAGAUAUGUGGAAGUUAUGAUGAUUUAAAAAUGUCCCAGAAAACCGACGUGAAACUGCAUAAUCCGGUGACCCGCGACCGGAACCUGGUAAAAAGUAAAUGCAAAAAACGCAGUUCUAAAACAACUAAACACAUAAUUGCAUAUCAUUCCUAAAACACAGAGAAAUUUGUGAGAGUGGCCUAAAUAGAAAGAAAUGGAUAUGAAAUGAAGUUCCUUUUGAAACAUUGGUCCUGUGGGGUUUAAAAAGAACACGGGUGUUCUUUCGUCGAGUGCUACCACUCUCAUCAUUAACAUUGUCACUCUAGACAUUAUCACAAUUCUCAACGCAAAGUAAAGCCUUGUAGAAUUCCUUGGAUGUCGUACAUGGUGUAGAUGCUGCCAAGAAACAAAACUGCUUGCGGAUAUGUUAUUUGAACUGGUGGAGCCUUCUUGAAUAGUUGGUAUCGAUUGUUGGACAAUAGCAGGACAAUUCGUUGAACUUCCGAUGGUACUUAGCUACUGAUAUUUUGCCUUGUGUAGGUCCAUGAACUCGUCUUUUUUUUCUUUCCCGGGUCUUAUACUCCGCAUGUGUAAGAUUAUCUUACAUUGCCGGCCCCAAGCCCGGAUAAAGAAGGAGGGGGAGGGCGUUAGGUAGUUGAUAGCCGGUACUCCUAUUUUACGUCGAACCUUAUGAUAAUGAAUCCUGAAUGAAAUUGCUCUAAAGCUAGGUCGUCACUCGUAAGUGGUGCGUUGUGUCCCGAGCACAGUGAUAAGUGAGCAAGGGUCGCUGUAUCUCCACUGGUGCCCGGAUGCAGUGUUAAAUGAGCAAUAGAGCCAUAAUAACUCCUUUUUGAACGACUCCACUCAAAGUUGUUUGGAAGCAUCUGCUUCUAUCAACUUUGACCUUAUUAGACGGGGGAUGGUGAAGAAGCUAGGACAAGAGGGUAGAGUUCAAGCGAGUAGAAUGCGUUUAGGAACGUGGAACAUAGGAACCUUAACGGGAAAAUCUAUGGAAAUAGUGAAAGUUAUGGUGAGGAGAAGGAUAAGUAUUAUGUGCCUACAAGAAACUAUGUGGGUUGGUCUUAAGGCAAAGGAUCUUGAAAACUCAGGUUUUAAACUUUGGUCUUCGGGCAAAUAGAACAAGAAAUGAUGUUAGCAUUAUCGUGGGGUAGGAAAUAGAAUUAUGGCAAUCAAGAUUGUAAUAGGACAAGAACUCAUCAAUGUGAUUAGUGUGUACACACCUCAAGUAAGGUUGGAACGAGUUUGAAGGAGAAAUUUUGGGAAGAUCUUAGAAACUUGGUGCAAUGAAUCACUUAGACGGAGAAUGUAUUUAUAGGAGGAGAUUUAAAUGGACACGUGGGUAAGAGGAUAGGCCAUGGUUUUGGGAAGAGAAAUGAGGAUGAGGAAGUCAUCUUGGAUUUUGCAGUGGCAUACAAUCUCUUCUUAGCCAACACUUUCUUUAAGAAGAGAGAAGAACAUGUGGUAACCUACAAGAAUGAGUUAUCAAAAACACAAAUAGAUUUUCUUCUAACGAGGAAGGGGGAUCAUAUAACUUGUAGAAUUGCAAAGUUAUACCGGGAGAGUGUUUGGCUAAUCAACAUCGCUUGUUGGUGAUGGAUGUACAUAUCAAAAGAGAGAGUAAAAAGAACAAGACCUUGAAGUGUCCAAGGACUAGAAGGUGGAAUCUAAAAAGAGAAAGACAAGUCAUUUUCAAAGAGGAAAUAAUCACCCAAUGCGUGUGGAUAGAGAGGGGGAAUAUGGGCCCACAUAGAUAUUAAAAAUUACAUGUCCUUAGUUCACCCAAAUUGCAUAUCCCACAAACCAGAAGAUCCAAAACUUCAAACAUCAAGAAGCCGAAUUUCAUAUGUUAAUAUAGAAUAAAAUAAAGGAAAUUCUUACCUUCGAAUUAUCAGAGACAGAGGACUGCCACUACUGUUAUUGUGAGACAAAGGAGUGAAAUCAAUCAAUGAUUCAGUGGAACUUCUUCAGGGCAAAUUUUGUAAUUUUUAUUUUUUGGGAAAACAAAUAGUACAAGGAGUGAAAGGAAAAAGAACCUCAAAGGAGGAAGCAUCAAUGAAGCACAUAUGGAUUAAAAAAUUGGUUUUUCCUCCAAAACCCAGAUGGAAAUUCAAUAUUCAGAAGAGAAAAUCACCAAAAGGGAGAAAAAAUGAGGGUUUUUCUUAAUCCCCAAAUGGAGAAAAAGUUUUUUCUAAUAUUUUCUUAGUACCAAGAAUUUCGAGCCCGACCGGCGAGCGAGCAGUGUAAGCCCCCCCGAACCGUACUGCAUUGAAUUGGAGUGGCUGUGACUCGGCGUCAUGGAUCGGACCCACGUCCACCUCCCGAGUUGUAAAACGAGGAGGCCGAGAGCCAGCAGGAGCGCGGAAUGAUCCGACCGUUGAUCAACGAAGAAGAAGAAGAGGUUGAGGAAUAGGUCCACUAGUCGGGCUCGGCGGGGACGGAGUUGAGGAGGAGGGAGCACUGGGAGGCAGGGGUGGAAGGCAGGCCAGGUGAGGAGGAUGAGGGGCUUGGAUUUGGAGGGUUUGAAUUUGGGCGAUGGUGGUGAGGAAGGCGACUAUGAGGAAGACAAUAGGGUUUGGGAUUUUUCUUUUUUAUAAAUUUUUAUUAGCAUUUUUAUAUUUCUAUAUUUUAUUAAUAUUCAUGUCGGCCUAUAUUAACAUGUGGCGUCUAGUUAUUGUUCACAUAAGCGGCAUGUCAUCAGUUAAAAUAGAUUCUAAUGGAAAUCUAAACAGAUAUAUGAAAGUGUAACUUUAAGUACCAGAUUGGAACGAAAAAAACUUAAUGUAUGAAAUGUUGAAAACCAAGAAACUUCUAGAUAGUAAAUUGAGUUUAACCCUUUAAGCACACAAUUUUUUUUUUUUCAUAAAAUAAAAAUACAACCUAGAUUUAAACAGGACAAAAAUAUAUGAUUAUUAAUGUUGUGUUGGGGUGCUUCUUUGGUUUAGGCAUCAGAGCACUGAGCGCGGGACUUACAAAAGCCACCAACAAAGAGAAGCAUUCCAGCCGUAGUCCUUGAUUUCAGAAGGAAAUGGAAAUUAUAAUUGCAAUUGCCUCAAAAGUUGGAGAGUGCUUGGUCACACCAAUAGGAACAGAGUUUGGCUAUUUGAUUAAUUACCAUUCCAACCUGGAAAAUCUUAAGGGUGAGAUAAAAAAGCUUUUUGACAAGAAAGAUGGAGUGCAAGGAUUGGUAGAUGCUGCCCAAAGGAACAGUGAAAGUAUCAAACCUGAUGUUCAGAGUUGGCUAAAGAAUGUGAACAACAUGAUCCAGAAAGUGUUACAUUUUGAGGAUGAAAUUAACAAGAAAAGGCGAUGUAUGAAUCGAUGGAGCUUGAGUCGGAAAGCCUAUAAGAUUACACAACAUGUUCUUCAGCUCCAAAACGAAGGAACAUUUGAAAAUGUGGCCCAUCCUGCACCUCCACGAGGGAUAUGGUCAAAAUUCAAGAAAGGUUUCAAGGACUUUAAGUCCAGAACGGCAUACAUGAAUGAGGUGAUAGAGGGUUUGAAGAGGGAACAAGUACGAAUGAUCGGGAUUUGUGGAAUGGGGGGUGUGGGUAAAACGACAAUGGCGAAAGAAAUCAUCACAAGAUUGGCAAAACUGAACCUGUUUGAUAAUAUUGUAAUGGCAACUGUGUCUCAAAGUCCAAGUAUUAGCAAGAUCCAGUCGGAAAUUGCAGACCAAAUAGGUUUGGAAUUGAAGGAGGAAUCCGAGUCCGGAAGAGCAAUAAAGCUGCAUGGGAAACUCAUGGAAAUAAAGAUCCUGAUUGUAUUAGAUGAUGUCUGGACAUAGCUUGAUUUUGAGGCUAUAGGACUCCCUUCUGGAGAUGCUCACAAGGGGUGCAAAGUUUUGUUGACAUCACGAGAUUGGGAAGUCUGCAACAGGAUGGGAAGUCAACCAAUUAUUGAAGUCCCGACUUUAACAACAGAAGAAUCACAUGACCUCUUUAAAGAAAUGGUAGGUGAAUCCUUCGAUGAGCCUGAUUUACGUUCCAUUGCAAAAGAGGUCGUUUAUGAAUGUGGAGGUUUACCUAUAGUCAGAAUCACAGAGGAAAAUGAAGAAGAGGCGACAAAAUACAUGAUUUUGUUUCUAAAACUGAACACAUUUGAACUAGAAAACCUGCCUCGUCUCACAAGUCUUUGUCCAGAGGGAUUUACAUUUCUAUGGUCAUCCACAAAAAAUAUGUACGUACGAAAAUGUGGAUCAUUGAAGACAUUGGGUGCUGUAAUUCCACAAAGAAAGAAGUUGGAGAAUAACUUGAAGAAGGAUUCAACAAGUCAUGAUUUCAGCACUUCUCCAACACGUUCAUCAAAUUGGUGCCCUGCUGGAUGUGGAUGCGCACCAUAUUCAAGACCAAACGCCCACCGCCCCAUUGAAAUAUUGCCAUGUCCAAUUAACCUGGAGGUAAGCUUUUAAAUCAGGUUCAAUUAACCUCUAUAAGUACAACUUUUAAUUAGUAUUGUAUCAUCUUGUUGAUCGUGUUUAAUUUCCUAGGUUACACCAACUAAUCUUGAGGACUCAAAUGAUGAUGAUAAUCUCGCAAAUCUUCGUGUCCAUGACUGUGCAUCAUUGGAAGUGAUUUUCCAACUAAAGGGGCCGAAGCAUGAAGAAAGUAGUCACUCCGUUGAAGCAUUCAAUAAAUUGAGGUCCUUGCGGUUAGAUAUUUUGCCAAGUUUAACGCGUGUUUGGGAGACGGGUAGUUCACAACCGAUGUUGACAGGAAGCAGCUUCGGAAACUUGAAAUCGCUGCGGGUCUUUGAUUGCGACCAGUUGAAAUACUUGUUUUCAUCGUCCAUUGUCAAACUUCUCGUGAGUAUGGAGGACAUAAAAGUUCAGAAGUGUGAGCAGAUGGAAGAAAUCGUUGCCGCAGAAGAAGAAACUGAUGAAACAAUUACAUUACCUAAAGUGAAGUCCAUCAAGCUUGAAAGUCUGCCAAAACUCAAGUAUUUUUGUGGUGAAGCUUAUACUUUGAAGUUGCCGUCUUUGGAGUUAUUGGAGGUUGAUGACGUGCAAAACUUAAGCCUAUUAGCUCCAAAGCUUAUUGCCACACAUCCCUGAUUGCAAGUAAACACCGCGUUGGGACUGGCUGAAUGGAAGGGGGACCUAAACGCCACUCUUACGGAAUAUUUACAUCACAAGGUAUGCUUUAAUAUAAGGUUUCUAAUUUUCAAUCGCUUAUGCGUGCAUGUUUAAAGAUGUUUUUUUUUUUCAACAUCUCUCUUUUAAAUCUUGAUGUAUACGUGGAAUUUCUGAAGUUUUUACAAAAGACUAUAUAAUAGCAUUAUAUUAAUGUAUAUGUGUGUGUGUAUGCGAGUAUGUGCACACUAAAGUGUAUUUAAAUAUAUAUAUAUAUAUAUAUAUAUAUAUAUAUAUAUAUAUAUAUAUAUAUAAUUUUAGAAAACUCAAUUAUAUCUCAAGAAAACAUCGUCUUUUAUUUCUAAUACAGUACGGAUGAAGAUAACGAAAUCGAUGGCAAGGAUGACGAUGACAAAAUCGACGGCAAGGAUGAAGAUGACGAAACCAACAGGGAGGACGAACACAGUUGAUUGAUCAAGCACAAAGGUUAGCAUGUUUCCAUCUCCAACUUCUUCUAGGUUUAGUAAAAACUUAUGAAAAUUAUAUAUAUAGUACUCAAAAAAGUAUUCUACCAUGUUUUAUAAUAUAUACAUACAUGUAUAGCACUUGAAAAAUUGAACAGUUUGGAUCUAAAACCACAAUCUGCUACCUGAUUCAUUUUUUCGAGGUACCUAAUAGCAGUUAAGGUGUGAGGAAGAAGCUUUUUAGAUUACCAACUGCCUCAAGAGAAACCUUUAUCAGAAACACAUAUACAAUAAACAUAACCGUAGUGCUAAGUGGCCUAAAAAUUAAUUUAUCCUUAAACCGCUAUUUUUGGAAACACAUAUACAAUAAGCAUAACCGUUUGAUUUCUAAUAUUCUCCAAUGCAUGCAGGAAAAGAGUUUAAAGAACGUUGUGGCUCCAGCAAUUCGUUUACCAUAUCAUAUGCACAAACCAAUAAAAGGACAUUUGUUGCACCAGAAUUUCAUUCCAAAAAUACUAUUUAUGUUGCUUAUUUUAUGUACCAUAAAUUUCGAUUGCGAUUAUUACUGUUUGUUUCUAAAUUCGCAUCAUUAGUAUUUGCUUAUUUGUGCUCGAGGUUGAUUAUACACGUGUAAGCUGAAUCACAUGUUUGUAGAAUGGACAAGCUGAAUAAAAUCUGUUUGCCCCCUAAAUGUAAUGGAAAUCAUAUGUAUCUAGGCAUGCUUAAUAUUUGAUAAAGAAAAACAUUUCUCAAAUAAAUGUCCACUCACACCUCCGGCAAGCUCGCCCUUGAGGAGCCUUGUCUACCAAAUAGGUAAACAUCUACUGGACAGCAGGCGAUUCAAAACCAUAGCAAACUGCUGAAUACAACUAGAGUAAACAAGGAAUCAGGCUAUGCAAUUGCCAUCAUCAUAACAUGAUUUUGGCCCCCAUCUUCUAAUUUCCUACCACAUUUUCACAUUCUUUCCAUGAAUUUUAUGAUUCCUAUGCAACAGAGUUCAUUCAUCGCCUAUUCACAACAAUACAAGGUUCUACAGAGUUCAAUCCCACACCAUGUUAUAGACAUGCUUCAACUAUCAACCGGGAACGUAAUCGUUAGGGGUUUCAACAAUUUCACAGAUACAACAAUUACUAUAAGUCUCAUCUCCAACAUUCAUACAGAAAAUCGAAUAAAAUUCGAAAUCAAGAAUCAAACCCAAAACUGAAAGUUGAAAAUUUGGAAAAAGAACUUACAUUGGAGAACAGCCCACGAGAAGAGUAUCAUUUCUACCUCUUGGGUCGAGGUCCAAUUCCCGCGAUAUUGGCCGGAAACCCCUGGGUCACCGUUUCUUAGAUUUGAAGUUGAGGAAAAUCGCCUACGAAAUUAUAGAAACUAACUUGGGGGAUUGGAUAAGGGACGGCAAGAGCAUUCUGGAUGUGUAGUUUGAGAGCUUUUGGUGACCAGUGGACGACAGAGCUGUUGCGUCGGCACUCGGCAGUCUUCGGCUUGCUGUUAAAUGGGGCUCCAGGAGUCGCAGCGCAAAAGAGAAGGAGGAGAGAGGAUACGGGAGGAGGAGAGAAAAUGGGUUUCUCCCACCUUUUACAUUAAUUCUUUUCC
rnacentral:lncRNA from 1 species